CGGGCCCCUUGAGGACAGUGUCUCUGCUGCCCUCCGGCCUGCUAUCUCCAGCCCUGUGCACCGGUGAGCUCUGCCCAACAUAACCAUGAGGCUUCUCAUCCUCUUCCUGGCUGUGGUCACCCUCCUGUCCCUGGCAGGACCUGGGUCUGCGGAGGUGAGGAGGAGACGCCGACGCCCACCCUGCGAGGAUGUCAAUGGGCAGUGCCAGCCCCGGGGGAACCCGUGCCUGCGGUUGCGGGGAGCCUGUCCUCGAGGCAGCAGAUGCUGCAUGCCCACCGUGGCUGCCCACUGAGGGCCAGUUGGCCGGGAGAGGGCAUUCGCCAGUGGAGGAUGCCUGGUACAUCCUGGUGCCCCCUCUUCCCCAUCAUUUUCCGAAAUAAAGAGCUUCCAGCCCAUC